UACGUAGGUGGCAAGCGUUAUCCGGAAUUACUGGGCGUAAAGCGCACGCAGGCGGCUCGUUAAGUCUGACGUGGAAGAACCUGGCUUAACUGGGGGAGGUCGUUGGAGACUGGCGGGCUUGAGGCAAUGAGAGGGGUGCGGAAUUCCCGGUGUAGUGGUGGAAUGCGUAGAGAUCGGGAGGAACACCUGUGGCGAAAGCGGCACCCUGGCAUUGGCCUGACGCUCAUGCGCGAAAGCGUGGGGAGCGAACGGG
rnacentral:rRNA from 1 species